AGUGAACGCUGGCGGCGUGCCUAAUACAUGCAAGUCGAACGGAGUGGCGCACGGGUGAGUAAUAUAUAGCUAAUCUGCCCCUUGCUGGAGGACAACAGUUAGAAAUGACUGCUAAUACUCCAUAGCAAGGGAUGAGACUAUAUCGUAUCAGCUAGUCGGUGGGGUAACGGCCUACCGAGGCGAUGACGCGUAACUGGUCUGAGAGGAUGAUCAGUCACAUUGGAACGGAGACACCGGCCAGACUCCUACGAGAGGGAGCAGUAGGGAGUAUUGGCCAAUGCGCGAAACCCUGGCGCAUCAACGCCUCGUAGAGGAUGACACUUUUCGGAGAAAAAACUCCUUUUAAUAGGGAAGCGGUACCUAACGAAUAAGCACCGGCUAACUACGUGCCAGCAGCCGCGGUAAUAC
rnacentral:rRNA from 1 species